GGCGUUAACUUUGAUGUGUGUUAGAAAAGGUUUGGAUUUGGGCAUUGAAUGAUUUCAUUUCCUUCAUUCAUUGAGUUGAGAUUUAUAAUAGUAGCACCUUAUUUAUCGAUGUUUGAUCACCGCCAGACACAUUAUUUCUCCCAUUUUUGUGUUCUUUGUUAUCCUCUUUUAACCUCUGUCGACGUUUGAUCUCUCCUAGAACGCUAGUCUCGAGAUAAAUGACUUGCUGUAGCGCAAUAUGACCAGCAGCUGCCAGAUAUCGAGCUAACACGUGGGUUGAACAUGACAUAAGUAGUUGUCGUUCCUGGAUGUUCAAAAGAAUGAAAAAGAAAACAGCCUUUGCCUAUUGUGAAAACCACAAGAUGCGUGAACAGGACUUUGGAAGGCAAAUGCAAUAAAGGCUGGUGGAUUUGUUUGAAAGAACGUUUGUCGAACACCAUCGGAUUUUUCCAGAAUUUCAAGAAGUCUCUUUUCAUCAAAGGUCUUGUGACAGGAUGCAUUCUUAUUACCCUUUUUUUCAUCUUCAUCGCAACAAUCUCAGGCGCACUAUACUGGUAUAUCAUUUACGAAUUUCAAUUAUCCACUGAAAGUAAGGUCCUUACAAUUGCGUUUUGAA